rnacentral:rRNA from 1 species
CAAUAGCGUAUAUUAAAGUUGUUGCAGUUAAAAAGCUCGUAGUUGGAUUUCGGAUUGUGGUUACGGGUCGGCUCGCAAGAGUGUGCACCUGUGAUUGUGGUCUUUAUCUACGGAGGGUGAUGUCAGCGAUUAGGUUCGGUGGUGUCGUAUGCGCUCCGUUCGUUUACUUUGAACAAAUUAGAGUGUUUAAAGCAGGCUUUUGCCUUGAAUACAUUAGCAUGGAAUAAUGGAAUAGGACUUGCGUUUCUAUUUCGUUGGUUUCUAGGACCGAGAUAUGUAAUUAAGGUACGGGAUUAGGGGGUUCGGGGGACUUACUUACUAAUUUACCUUUAAAAUUUGGUUCCAAGGAAGGGGUUGAAAAUUUCCUUUAGG